AUACGGAGGGUGCAAGCGUUACUCGGAAUCACUGGGCGUAAAGCGCGCGCAGGCGGCCUGAUAAGUUGGAUGUGAAAGCCUACGGCUCAACCGUAGAACUGCAUCCAAAACUGUCAGGCUAGAGUGUGGGAGAGGAAGAUGGAAUUAGUUGUGUAGGGGUAAAAUCCGUGAGAUAACUAGGAAUACCAAAAGCGAAGGCAAUCUUCUGGAACACUACUGACGCUGAGGCGCGAAGGCGUGGGGAGCAAACAGGAUUAGAUACCCUAGUAGUCC
rnacentral:rRNA from 1 species